UCCAGAUUUCAGGUCUACAAUCCCUCUCUGACAGAAGGGAACAUCUUUGCCUAAGGUUCGCAGAAUCGCUCUACAAGCACUUUCGCGACUGGCUUCCAGAGAUGCAGACCACGAAUCGACGAUUGAGAUACAGUGAAAGAUUGAGAGACUUUAGAUGCCGAACAGAAAGACUGAGAAAUAGCACUCUUCCUUACUUGGUAAGGACUCUGAACGAACAUUUUUUCUGAUACUAAUAAUUUUGUAUGUUUGAUACUCACUCUCCUGUAAUAUAGAGUGUAAUGCACUCCUUGUGGGAAGUAUUUGCCAGUAAUUGUGCAAUAGGUAUUUAAUCAUUGAAAUUUUUUAAUCAAUUUUCAAUUAUUUCAUAUUUAAUUGUGAAUUAAAAUUUAUAUUAAUAGCAUUGAAUUUUAAAGAACGAGCAAUACUUGAAUAUGAAUGAAAUCACACCGAUCACCUAGUAUUUAGCCAGUGCAAUAUGUGUAUUU